CCUACGGGGGGCUGCAGUGGGGAAUAUUGCACAAUGGGGGAAACCCUGAUGCAGCGACGCCGCGUGAGUGAAGAAGUAUUUCGGUAUGUAAAGCUCUAUCAGCAGGGAAGAAAAUGGCGGUACCUGACUAAGAAGCACCGGCUAACUACGUGCCAGCAGCCGCCGUAAUACGGAGGGGGCAAGCGUUAUCCGGAUUUACUGGGUGUAAAGGGAGCGUAGACGGCAGCGCAAGUCUGAAGUGAACUCCCAUGGCUUAACCAUGGAACUGCUUUGGAAACUGUGCAGCUGGAGUGCAGGAGAGGUAAGCGGAAUGCCUAGUGUAGCGGUGAAAUGCGUAGAUAGUAGGAAGAACACCAGUGGCGAAGGCGGCUUACUGGACUGUAACUGACGUUGAGGCUCGAAAGCGUGGGGAGCAAACAGGAUUAGAUACCCGGGUAGUC
rnacentral:rRNA from 1 species